rnacentral:rRNA from 1 species
UACGGGAGGCAGCAGUGGGGAAUAUUGCACAAUGGGCGAAAGCCUGAUGCAGCUAUGCCGCGUGUAUGAAGAAGGCCUUAGGGUUGUAAAGUACUUUCAUCGGGGAGGAAAAAACAAAACUAAUAAUUUUAUUUCUUGACGUUACCCGAAAAAGAAGCACCGGCUAACUCCGUGCCAGCAGCCGCGGUAAUACGGAGGGUGCUAGCGUUAAUCAGAAUUACUGGGCGUAAAGAGCACGUAGGUGGUUUUUUUAAGUUCAGAUGUGAAAUCCCUGGGCUUAACCUAGGAACUGCAUUUUGAAACUGAAAUACUAGAGUAUCGUAGAGGGAGGUAGAAUUCUAGGUGUAGCGGUGAAAUGCGUAGAUAUCUGGAGGAAUACCUGUGGCGAAAGCGGCCUCCUAAACGAAUACUGACACUGAGGGUGCGAAAGCAUGGGGAGCAAACAGGGAUUAGAUACC